rnacentral:rRNA from 1 species
GACGAACGCUGGCGGCGUGCCUAAUACAUGCAAGUCGAGCGAAAAGACGAGGAGCUUGUUCCUCUGACGUUAGCCGCGGAGGGGUGAGUAACACGUGGAUAACCUACCUAUAAGACUGGGAAAUCUUCGGGAAACCGGAGCUAAUACCGGAUAAUAUAUUGCACCGCAUGGUUCGAUAGUGAAGGUCGGCGUUUCUGUCACUUAUAGAUGGAUCUGCGCCGCAUUAGCUAGUUGGUAAGGUAACGGGUUACGAAGGGAACGAGGCGUAGCCGACCUGAGGGGGUGGUCGGCCACACUGGAACGUGGACACGGUCCAUGCGCCUACGGGAGGCAGCAGUAGGGAAUCUUCCGCAAUGGGCGAGAGCCUGACGGAGCAACGCCGCGUGAGUUAUGAAGGUCUUCGGAUCGUAAAACUCUGUUAUUAGGGAAGAACAAAUGUGUAAGUAACUAUGCACGUCUUGACGGUACCUAAUCAGAAAGCCACGGCUAACUACGUG